GGGGGAUAUUGCACAAUGGACGGAAGUCUGAUGCAGCGACGCCGCGUGGGGGAUGAAGGCUUUCGGGUUGUAAACCUCUUUUAUUCCUGAACAAGGCUUGGAUUGUUGUCUGGGUUGAGGGUAGGGGGUGAAUAAGCGCCGGCUAACUACGUGCCAGCAGCCGCGGUAAUACGUAGGGCGCGAGCGUUGUCCGGAUUUAUUGGGCGUAAAGAGCUCGUAGGCGGUUUGUUGCGUCUGCUGUGAAAACGCGGGGCUUAACUUCGCGCGUGCAGUGGGUACGGGCAGGCUAGAGUGCGGUAGGGGAGAUUGGAAUUCCUGGUGUAGCGGUGGAAUGCGCAGAUAUCAGGAGGAACACCGAUGGCGAAGGCAGGUCUCUGGAGUGUAACUGACGCUGAUGCUCGAAAGUGUGGGUAUCAAACA
rnacentral:rRNA from 1 species